AUUCCAGCUCCAAUAGCGUAUAUUAAAGUUGUUGCAGUUAAAAAGCUCGUAGUCGAAUUUCGGGUCGAGACGGCAGGUCUAUCGAAAGAUAUGUACUUGACAGCUCGAUCUUUCCUUCUGGGGACGGUGUAUUCUUUAUUGGGUGCAUCGGCAACCAGGACGUUUACUUUGAAUAAAUUAGAGUGUUUAAGGCAGGCUUACGCUUGAAUACAUUAGCAUGGAAUAAUAGAAUAGGACUUUGGUUCUAUUUUGUUGGUUUCUAGGACCAGAGUAAUGAUUAAUAGGAACAGUUGGGGGCAUUAGUAUUCAGUUGUCAGAGGUGAAAUUCUUGGAUUUACUGAAGGCUAACUACUGCGAAAGCAUUUGCCAAGGAUGUUUUCAUUA
rnacentral:rRNA from 1 species